UAGUUGGUGGGGUAAAGGCCUACCAAGGCGACGAUCAGUAGCGGGUCUGAGAGGAUGAUCCGCCACACUGGGACUGAGACACGGCCCAGACUCCUACGGGAGGCAGCAGUGGGGAAUUUUGGACAAUGGGGGCAACCCUGAUCCAGCCAUUCCGCGUGAGUGAAGAAGGCCUUCGGGUUGUAAAGCUCUUUCAGCUGGAACGAAACGGUACAUCCUAAUACGGUGUGCUAAUGACGGUACCAGCAGAAGAAGCACCGGCUAACUACGUGCCAGCAGCCGCGGUAAUACGUAGGGUGCGAGCGUUAAUCGGAAUUACUGGGCGUAAAGCGUGCGCAGGCGGAUUGUUAAGCAAGAUGUGAAAUCCCCGGGCUUAACCUGGGAAUGGCAUUUUGAACUGGCAGUCUAGAGUGCGUCAGAGGGGGGUGGAAUUCCACGUGUAGCAGUGAAAUGCGUAGAGAUGUGGAGGAACACCAAUGGCGAAGGCAGCCCCCUGGGAUGACACUGACGCUCAUGUACGAAAGCGUGGGUAGCAAACAGGAUUAGAUACCCUGGUAGUCCACGCCCUAAACGAUGUCAACUGGUUGUUGGGGGAGUGAAAUCCCUUAGUAACGAAGCUAACGCGUGAAGUUGACCGCCUGGGGAGUACGGUCGCAAGAUUAAAACUCAAAGGAAUUGACGGGGACCCGCACAAGCGGUGGAUGAUGUGGAUUAAUUCGAUGCAACGCGAAAAACCUUCCCUACCCUUGACAUGUCCAGAACCCUGCAGAGAUGCGGGGGUGCCCGAAAGGGAAUUGGAACACAGGUGCUGCAUGGCUGUCGUCAGCUCGUGUCGUGAGAUGUUGGGUUAAGUCCCGCAACGAGCGCAACCCUUAUCAUUAGUUGCUACGCAAGGGCACUCUAAUGAGACUGCCGG
rnacentral:rRNA from 1 species